rnacentral:rRNA from 1 species
CUCGGCCUCAGAUCAGACAAGGCUACCCGCUGAAUUUAAGCAUAUUAAUAAGCGGAGGAAAAGAAACUAACAAGGAUUCCCCCAGUAACGGCGAGUGAAGCGGGAUAAGCUCAAAUUUAAAAUCUCCGUUGCUUGCAACGGCGAAUUGUAGUUUCGAGAAGCGCUUUCUAGGUGGGCCGGCUGUGCCUAAGUUGCUUGGAACAGCACGUCAUAGAGGGUGACAACCCCGUCUGUGGCGCAGGCGGCCGCUGACGAUGUGCUUUCGAAGAGUCGGGUUGUUUGGGAAUGCAGCCCAAAAUGGGUGGUAAACUCCAUCUAAAGCUAAAUAUUGGCACGAGACCGAUAGCGAACAAGUACCGUGAGGGAAAGAUGAAAAGGACUUUGGAAAGAGAGUUAAAAAGUACGUGAAACCGUUAAAAGGGAAACGAAUGGAGCUAGCAAUGCACCCUGUGA